rnacentral:rRNA from 1 species
CGUUGAUUACGUCCCUGCCCUUUGUACACACCGCCCGUCGCUACUACCGAUCGAAUGGCUUAGUGAGGUCUCCGGAUUGGGUUUGGGAAACCGGCAACGGUAGCUCGUAGCUGAGAAGCUGAUCAAACUUGGUCAUUUAGAGGAAGUAAAAGUCGUAACAAGG